AUUGAACGCUGGCGGCAGGCUUAACACAUGCAAGUCGAGCGAGCGGCGGACGGGUGAGUCAUGUCUGGGAAACUGCCUGAUGGAGGGGGAUAACUACUGGAAAAGGUAGCUAAUACCGCAUACCGUCAGAAGUGCCCAGCUGGGAUUAGCUAGUAGGUGGGGUAAUGGCUCACCUAGGCGACGAUCCCUAGCUGGACUGAGAGGAUGACCAGCAAGCCCGGGACUGAGACAAGGUCCAGACUACUACGGGAGGCAGCAGUGGGGAAUAUUGCACAAUGGGCGAAAGCCUGAUGGAGCCAUGCCGCGUGUGUGAAGAAGGCCUUCGGGUUGUAAAGCACUUUCAGCGAGGAGGCGUUACUCGCAGAAGAAGCACCGGCUAACUCCGUGCCAGCAGCCGCGGUAAUUC
rnacentral:rRNA from 1 species